rnacentral:rRNA from 1 species
UACGAGGGGGGCGAGCGUUGUUCGGAAUUAUUGGGCGUAAAGGGUGCGUAGGCGGCCUGACAAGUCUGAUGUGAAAUCCCUGGGCUCAACCCAGGGCCUGCAUCGGAAACUGUCGGGCUUGAGUAUGGGAGAGGUGAGUGGAAUUUCCGGUGGAGCGGUGAAAUGCGCAGAGAUCGGAAAGAACACCAACGGCGAAAGCACUCUGCUGGGCCGACACUGACACUGAGAGACGAAAGCUAGGGGAGCGAAUGGG